rnacentral:rRNA from 1 species
AGUGAACGCUGGCGGUAGGCCUAACACAUGCAAGUCGAACGGCAGCACAGUAAGAGCUUGCUCUUACGGGUGGCGAGUGGCGGACGGGUGAGGAAUACAUCGGAAUCUACUUUUUCGUGGGGGAUAACGUAGGGAAACUUACGCUAAUACCGCAUACGACCUACGGGUGAAAGCAGGGGAUCUUCGGACCUUGCGCGAUUGAAUGAGCCGAUGUCGGAUUAGCUAGUUGGCGGGGUAAAGGCCCACCAAGGCGACGAUCCGUAGCUGGUCUGAGAGGAUGAUCAGCCACACUGGAACUGAGACACGGUCCAGACUCCUACGGGAGGCAGCAGUGGGGAAUAUUGGACAAUGGGCGCAAGCCUGAUCCAGCCAUACCGCGUGGGUGAAGAAGGCCUUCGGGUUGUAAAGUCCUUUUGUUGGGAAAGAAAAGCAGCAGGUUAAUACCCCGCUGUUCUGACGGUACCCAAUGAAUAAGCACCGGCUAACUUCGUG